rnacentral:lncRNA from 1 species
GCUCAGCAGUCUCAUUGAAGCGAGCGGCGGCGGCCGCGCCGUGGUAAACAAGUGCCGGGCUGUCAAUCAAGAACUAGACCGGAGCAGGAGAGGACCGGCCUAAACCGGCGCGAGCAGAUCCCAGCCGGCCUGCCCGCGCGCCGCCGCCGCCGCCGCUGCCGCCCGCGCGCCCCGCUAUACAUACGGCAUACGUCGCGCGGCGCUCGCGCCCGUGCCCGCGCAACCUAGCCUGCUGGCCGGGGGGCGGGGCGAGCGAGCCGCGGCGCUUCCGCUUUACACGCCCCAGCCGGCGACCGGUUCCAUCUGGCUCGGGCCACUCUGACACCUUUAGUUUCGGCAAGGGAUAUUGGGGUGGCGAAGGGGAGGCGGGGGCCCGAAGGCUUCGGAAAACGAUGGGGGAGGGGGCAGAGGAUACCCGUCGAAGCCCCCCCCUCCCCCAACAUUUCGAUAUUGGAAUCACUUUCCUUCUUCCUCGGGCCAGCCUUUGCUCUGUCCCCUCAGGUCAACUCAAGGUAGACAGUGUGGCGACUGGAGAGGUCGGGGAACAAGCUUUGUUUCAGCUAAGGGGAAAACAAGCGUUCACAGGAGUCCCCUGACACCUCCCACUCGGAAGAUAGCUAACGGGGGUCCUGCCAACCCUUCCCAUCCAACUUCCAUCUGAAAAGGAUUUUCUGCUAAAGUUGGGUCCAUGGCCAUCCAGCACCUGUAAGGCCGGCAGGAGCGUCUGCCCUCUACUCAGUUAAAGCCUGAAGUCGUUUCCUUUCGAUGGCCCUUAGGAGGCCCAAAAGAGGGGCGACAGAACAUGAUGUUGACACGGGCUGGGCGCCCCCAGAAGCCCGGGAACAAACGUUUCUACUUUCCAGGUCCACUGGUGUUUGGUGUACCCAUGUGACUAAUUUGUCCAAAGAGAGAUUUCUGUGAAUAGACCAGAAGCCGACCUUUACAGUGUGUUUGGGUGCAGAAAACCUUGGCUGACAUACUCAAGGCUGAAAUGCAGUCAGCGGAAAUGGAAACACUUCAACUCUGCCCCUGUGGCAAGAAUGGCUUCCCUUCAGACAAUCUGGCCAGAUUCUUUAUGGACCCAAUGGGAGGUACAUACUCGGGGCAUUGCGUUUAUGUUUUUCCUGACCUACCUGCUCCUUAGAGCU